AGAGUUUGAUCAUGGCUCAGGACGAACGCUGGCGGCGUGCCUAAUACAUGCAAGUCGAACGGGGUUAAAGACUUCGGUUUUUAACUUAGUGGCGAACGGGUGAGUAACGCGUGAGCAACCUGACUCAGAGAGGGGGACAACAGCUGGAAACGGCUGCUAAUACCGCAUAAGACCACAACGCGGCAUCGCGAAGGGGUCAAAGAUUUAUCGCUUUGAGAGGGGCUCGCGUCCCAUUAGAUAGUUGGUGAGGUAACGGCCCACCAAGUCCGCGAUGGGUAGCCGAGCUGAGAGGCUGAUCGGCCACACUGGAACUGAGACACGGUCCAGACUCCUACGGGAGGCAGCAGUAGGGAAUAUUGGGCAAUGGGCGCAAGCCCGACCCAGCAACGCCGCGUGAGGGAAGAAGGUUUUCGGAUUGUAAACCUCUGUCCUAUGUGACGAAGGAAGUGACGGUAGCAUAGGAGGAAGCCCCGGCUAACUACGUGCCAGCAGCCGCGGUAAUACGUAGGGGGCGAGCGUUGUCCGGAAUUACUGGGCGUAAAGGGUGCGUAGGCGGCACGGUAAGUUGGAUGUGAAAUACCCGGGCUUAACUUGGGGGCUGCAUCCAAAACUGCUGAGCUUGAGUGCGGGAGAGGAAAGCGGAAUUCCUAGUGUAGCGGUAAAAUGCGUAGAUAUUAGGAGGAACACCGGUGGCGAAGGCGGCUUUCUGGACCGUAACUGACGCUGAGGCACGAAAGUGUGGGGAGCAAACAGGAUUAGAUACCCUGGUAGUCCACGCGGUAAACGAUGAAUACUAGGUGUUGGGAAGCAAAGCUUUUCAGUGCCGGAGCUAACGUGAUAAGUAUUCCACCUGGGGAGUACGUCCGCAAGGAUGAAACUCAAAGGAAUUGACGGGGACCCGCACAAGCGGUGGAGCAUGUGGUUUAAUUCGAGGCAACGCGAAAAACCUUACCAGGGCUUGAGAUCCGGAUGAAUUAGGGGUAAUGCCCUAAGCUCUUCGGAGCAUCCGAGACAGGUGGUGCAUGGUUGUCGUCAGCUCGUGUCGUGAGAUGUUGGGUUAAGUCCCGCAACGAGCGCAACCCCUGCCGAUAGUAACCAGCGAGUCAAGUCGGGGACUCUAUCGGGACUGCCGGGGACAACCCGGAGGAAGGUGAGGAUGACGUCAAAUCAUCAUGCCCCUUAUGCCCUGGGCGACACACGUGCUACAAUGGCGUAACAGAGGGACGCGACCCCGCGAGGGUGAGCAAAUCCCAAAAACAACGUCCCAGUUCGGAUUGCAGGCUGCAACCCGCCUGCAUGAAGCUGGAAUCGCUAGUAAUCGCGAAUCAGCAUGUCGCGGUGAAUACGUUCCCGGGUCUUGUACACACCGCCCGUCACACCAUGGGAGUCGGGAAUGCCCGAAGUGCGUGACUUAACCGCAAGGAGAGAGCGCCCGAAGGCAGGCCGGAUGACUGGGGUGAAGUCGUAACAAGGUAGCCGUA
rnacentral:rRNA from 1 species